UAGGGAAUCUACGGCAAUGGACGAAAGUCUGACCGAGCAACGCCGCGUGAGUGAAGAAGGUUUUCGGAUCGUAAAACUCUGUUGUUAGAGAAGAACAAGGACGUUAGUAACUGAACGUCCCCUGACGGUAUCUAACCAGAAAGCCACGCCUAACUACGUGCCAGCAGCCGCGGUAAUACGUAGGUGGCAAGCGUUGUCCGGAUUUAUUGGGCGUAAAGCGAGCGCAGGCGGUUUCUUAAGUCUGAUGUGAAAGCCCCCGGCUCAACCGGGGAGGGUCAUUGGAAACUGGGAGACUUGAGUGCAGAAGAGGAGAGUGGAAUUCCAUGUGUAGCGAUGAAAUGCGUAGAUAUAUGGAGGAACACCAGUGGCGAAGGCGGCUCUCUGGUCUGUAACUGACGCUGAGGCUCGAAAGCGUGGGGAGCAAACAGG
rnacentral:rRNA from 1 species